GCAGCUUCUCUUAGCCAUGUCUUCUGAGUGUCGGGAGCCCUUGGCCUCUUCAGGAGCAGAAGCUGCUGGGCUGUGCAGUGCCCAGGUGGGCAGAGGAAACCCAUUCUGUGGCCCUCUUGGACUCCUGAUGAGGAGCUGUGUGGGCUGACACCCUCAGGGAACCUGGGAAAUAAGAAAUGCAUAAAUACCACCUAUAGCUCCUCUCCAAAGAUGAUCACACCAAGCCCACAUCCUCCGCUGUGGCCCUGCGGGAAGUCCCGCUCCGGCUCCUCAGGAAUUUCUCCUGGGAACAGCCCCGCUCAGUGCGAGUGGUGAGGAAGCCUGAGCCAGCCACGGGAAAGCAGAGCAACACUCAGCCCGCCCGCUGCCAUCCUGUAGCCCAACCCAGGAGCCAGACCCACGAAUGAGCAAACCAUCUCGAGCACCAGGAGUCCCCAAGAAAAGACUGUUCGGAUGAGUCUCGCCAACUCACUGAGCCAUGGAAGAUAAAAAUAAAGUGUUGUUUUUG
rnacentral:lncRNA from 1 species